rnacentral:rRNA from 1 species
UGGGGAAUUGUUCGCAAUGGGCGAAAGCCUGACGACGCAACGCCGCGUGGAGGAUGAAGACCUUCGGGUCGUAAACUCCUUUCGACCGAGAUGAAAAUCCCGCGACUUAAUACCUUGCGGGACUGACAGUAUCGAGGGAAGCAGCCCCGGCUAACUCUGUGCCAGCAGCCGCGGUAAUACAGGGGGGGCAAGCGUUGUUCGGAAUUACUGGGCGUAAAGGGUUCGUAGGUGGCUAACUAAGUCAGACGUGAAAUCCCUCAGCUUAACUGGGGAACUGCGUCUGAAACUGGAUAGCUUGAGUGCAGGAGAGGAACGCGGAAUUCCAGGUGUAGCGGUGAAAUGCGUAGAUAUCUGGAGGAACACCGGUGGCGAAGGCGGCGUUCUGGACUGCAACUGACACUGAGGAACGAAAGCCAGGGGAGCAAACGG